CUGGAAGUAUAAACACUUUUAUGAAAGAAUCAUUAUCCAAUGUUUCCACUCUUCUUGUGAAUAAAGAAACUAAUACCUUAUUUGUUGGAGGCAGAGAUGCAGUAUUUGCUGUUGACUUGAAUUAUAUUUCUAGAGAAAUAGCUAGGGAAUACUGGUUUGCUACACAGGAAAGACAACUGGAAUGUGUUCAUAGAGGAAAGGACAAGAUUGGAACUUCUGUUUUCCCCUAUAAAAUGCCAGAACUACAUACUCUUCCUCCAUAA
rnacentral:lncRNA from 1 species